GGCCUCUCUCCCAUGGGGCUGAAGAAGGGUCCUAUUUUCUCCUCAGCCAGGCCUGGAGGCCAACAUCAGCCCUCGAGGAUCAUCGUCGGGGCUGCCGUGAGCUGGGCAGCCUUGUUUACCUACCUCAGACAUUU
rnacentral:snoRNA from 1 species